GGGCCUGUAGCUCAACUGGAUAGAGUAUCGGCCUUCGAAGCCGAGUGUUGGGGGUUCGAGUCCCUCCAGGCCCACCA
rnacentral:tRNA from 2 species